rnacentral:rRNA from 1 species
AUGUGGCUGCGGCCGAUUAGGUCGACGGUGGGGUAACGGCCCACCGUGCCGAUAAUCGGUACGGGUUGUGAGAGCAAGAACCCGGAGACGGUAUCUGAGACAAGAUACCGGGCCCUACGGGGCGCAGCAGGCGCGAAACCUUUACACUGCACGACAGUGCGAUAGGGGGACUCCGAGUGCGAGGGCAUAUAGCCCUCGCUUUUCUGUACUGUAAGGUGGUACAGGAACAAGGACUGGGCAAGACCGGUGCCAGCCGCCGCGGUAAUACCGGCAGUCCAAGUGAUGGCCGAUAUUAUUGGGCCUAAAGCGUCCGUAGCCGGCCGGACAAGUCCGUUGGGAAAUCGACGCGCUCAACGCGUCGGCGUCCAGCGGAAACUGUCCGGCUUGGGGCCGGAAGACCUGAGGGGUACGUCCGGGGUAGGAGUGAAAUCCUGUAAUCCUGGACGGACCACCAAUGGGGAAACCACCUCAGGAAGACGGACCCGACGGUGAGGGACGAAAGCUAGGGUCUCGAACCGGAUUAGAUACCCGGGUAGUCCUAGCUGUAAACGAUGCUCGCUAGGUGUGCCGUAGGUUACGAGCCUGCGCUGCGCCCUAGGGAAGCCGAGAAGCGAGCC